CAAGAAUCGAAGUACUUAGAAUUCGACUCCCGAAAUAGAAGUUGACAAAGCAAGGAUUAUUGCUGGAAGCAUAAAGUAAGCAUUUGAGGAAAUAUUAGUGGCGAAGUAAUAUCCCACCAUUGUAAGAUAAGUGAUCAGCCUAGUGUGCAUUCAUCAGUACUUAUUGUCCAUCGUGGAUAGGUAAAGGCAUCUCAUAGCACUUUAUUCUGAGUCGCUCUAUUGCUAGAGGUCGAGUCAUUUGUAAUGUAUUUUAUUUUUGUAAAUGGAUACUAGACUAAAUAUAAAUUUACAAUUGGAG